rnacentral:rRNA from 1 species
GCCCUUGAGUUUGAUCCUGGCUCAGGAUGAACGCUAGCGGCAGGCUUAACACAUGCAAGUCGAGGGGCAGCGAGGGUAGCAAUACCUGUCGGCGACCGGCGCAAGGGUGCGUAACGCGUGAGCAACAUGCCCGUAUCAGGGGGAUAAGCCAGGGAAACUUGGUCUAAUACCGCAUAAUAAUCAUUUGGGGCAUCUUAGGUGAUUUAAAAUUACGAUGGAUACGGAUUGGCUCGCGUGACAUUAGCUUGAUGGUAGGGUAACGGCCUACCAUGGCUACGAUGUCUAGGGGUUCUGAGAGGAAGGUCCCCCACACUGGAACUGAGACACGGUCCAGACUCCUACGGGAGGCAGCAGUGAGGAAUAUUGGACAAUGGAUGGAAAUCUGAUCCAGCCAUGCCGCGUGCAGGAAGACGGCCCUAUGGGUUGUAAACUGCUUUUGCGCAGGAAGAAUAACCCCCUCGUGAGAGGGGACGACGGUACUGCGCGAAUAAGGAUCGGCUAACUCCGUGCCAGCAGCCGCGGUAAUACGGAGGAUCCGAGCGUUAUCCGGAUUUACUGGGUUUAAAGGGUGCGUAGGCUGGCGCUUAAGUCAGCGGUGAAAGGCAGCGGCUCAACCGUUGGAUUGCCGUUGAAACUGGGCGCCUUGGAUUCGGUCGAGGUUGGCGGAAUGCGUGGUGUAGCGGUGAAAUGCUUAGAUAUCACGCGGAACGCCGAUUGCGAAGGCAGCUGACCAGACCUGAAUCGA